UACAGGGGGUGCAAACGUUGCUCGGAAUCAUUGGGCGUAAAGCGCACGUAGGCGGCUUAGCAAGUCGGAUGUGAAAUCCCUCGGCUCAACCAAGGAAGUGCAUCCGAAACUGCUGAGCUUGAGUACUUAAGAGGAUCGCGGAAUUCCCGGUGUAGAGGUGAAAUUCGUAGAUAUCGGGAGGAACACCAGUGGCGAAGGCGGGUCACUGGUCCGGUACUGACGCUGAGGUGCGAAAGCGUGGGGAGCGAACAGG
rnacentral:rRNA from 1 species